rnacentral:rRNA from 1 species
AACGCGAAAAGGGCUUCGGCUCUUAGUAGAGUGGCGAACGGGUGGGUAACACGUGGGUGACCUACCUUCGAAUGGGGGAUAACGUCCCGAAAGGGACGCUAAUACCGCAUAACAUCCUGCUUUUGAACAGGUGGAGAUCAAAGCCGGGGAUCGCAAGACCUGGCGUUUGAAGAGGGGCCCGCGUCUGAUUAGCUAGUUGGUGAGGUAACGGCCCACCAAGGCGACGAUCAGUAUCCGGCCUGAGAGGGCGGACGGACACACUGGGACUGAGACACGGCCCAGACUCCUACGGGAGGCAGCAGUGGGGAAUUGUUCGCAAUGGGCGCAAGCCUGACGACGCAACGCCGCGUGGAGGAUGAAGGUCUUCGGAUUGUAAACUCCUGUUGCUCGGGACGAAAAGCUUCGACCUAACACGUCGAAGUCUGACGGUACCGGGUGAGGAAGCCCCGGCUAACUCUGUGCCAGCAGCCGCGGUAAUACAGAGGGGGCAAGCGUUGUUCGGAAUUACUGGGCGUAAAGGGCGCGUAGGCGGCCCGCUAAGUCGAACGUGAAAUCCCCGGGCUCAACCCGGGAACUGCGUCCGAUACUGGCAGGCUUGAAUCCGGGAGAGGGAUGCGGAAUUCCAGGUGUAGCGGUGAAAUGCGUAGAUAUCUGGAGGAACACCGGUGGCGAAGGCGGCAUCCUGGACCGGCAUUGACGCUGAAGCGCGAAA